UGAUAAGAACUGAAAUUACUCAUUGACAUUAUCGUGGUGCUAUUUCGAAAACAUUAUCUCAUUUCAUUUCCUAGAAUAUCAUCAAGUCUCCACAAUACCAGUUCCUUAAAGGAGAAUAUUUUUGUUCCAACUGAAACCAAAAUAUUCCCCAGUUACUGAGGCUAAUUGAGAGUUAAUUAUAUGUCUGCUCAUUAUUUUGCUUACU
rnacentral:lncRNA from 1 species